UACAGAGGUCUCAAGCGUUGUUCGGAUUCAUUGGGCGUAAAGGGUGCGUAGGCGGCGGUGUAAGUCGGAUGUGAAAGCCCGGGGCUCAACCCUGGAAUUGCAUUCGAUACUGCAUCGCUUGAGUACUGGAGAGGGAACUGGAAUUUACGGUGUAGCAGUGAAAUGCGUAGAUAUCGUAAGGAAGACCAGUGGCGAAGGCGAGUUCCUGGACAGUUACUGACGCUGAGGCACGAAGGCCAGGGGAGCAAACGGG
rnacentral:rRNA from 1 species